rnacentral:rRNA from 1 species
GGGGGGAGCAAGCGUUGUUCGGAUUUACUGGGCGUAAAGGGCGCGUAGGCGGCCAGCGUAAGUCAGUUGUGAAAUCUCCGAGCUUAACUCGGAAAGGUCAACUGAUACUGCGCGGCUAGAGUGCGGAAGGGGCAACUGGAAUUCUUGGUGUAGCGGUGAAAUGCGUAGAUAUCAAGAGGAACACCUGCGGCGAAGGCGGGUUGCUGGGCCGACACUGACGCUGAGGCGCGAAAGCUAGGGGAGCGAACGGGAUUAGAUACCCCGGUAGUCCUAGCCUUAAACGAUGAAUGCUUGGUGUCUGGGGUUAUAUAGUCCCCGGGUGCCGUCGCUAACGCUUUAAGCAUUCCGCCUGGGGAGUACGGUCGCAAGACUG